rnacentral:tRNA from 1 species
UCCAGGGUAGCCUAGUGGAUAUGGCAUCUGUUCGGUAAGCGGAACACUGUGGAUUCGGUUCCCAUCCCUGGAC